GGGUGGUAAUGCCGGAUGCUCCAUCAUACCGCAUGGUGUGUUGGGAAAGCCUUUGCGGCAUGGGAUGGGGUCGCGUCCUAUCAGCUUGAUGGCGGGGUAACGGCCCACCAUGGCUUCGACGGGUAGCCGGCCUGAGAGGGCGACCGGCCACAUUGGGACUGAGAUACGGCCCAGACUCCUACGGGAGGCAGCAGUGGGGAAUAUUGCACAAUGGGCGCAAGCCUGAUGCAGCGACGCCGCGUGAGGGAUGGAGGCCUUCGGGUUGUAAACCUCUUUUGUUAGGGAGCAAGGCAUUUUGUGUUGAGUGUACCUUUCGAAUAAGCACCGGCUAACUACGUGCCAGCAGCCGCGGUAAUACGUAGGGUGCAAGCGUUAUCCGGAAUUAUUGGGCGUAAAGGGCUCGUAGGCGGUUCGUCGCGUCCGGUGUGAAAGUCCAUCGCUUAACGGUGGAUCCGCGCCGGGUACGGGCGGGCUUGAGUGCGGUAGGGGAGACUGGAAUUCCCGGUGUAACGGUGGAAUGUGUAGAUAUCGGGAAAGAACACCA
rnacentral:rRNA from 1 species